CUAAAAUCUUCAUUCACUUUGUCAAGAAGCUUAAGUUUAAAAUUCAGGGGAAAAAAAUGUAUGUAAAUUGUCAAAACCUUUCAUUUCAAAUAUGUGUUCUUCUGUUGCUAAACAUAUAUAUUCAAUUUGUAUCCAUCUUUUAUACUCUACAGUUUGCGCCAAAGUUGGAUGGAUGCAGGAUUACAUUCGCUGGCUCUCUUGUGAGGAUAUCCAGAGUUUAUUGUUUCACACAAAAACAAUGUGAGUAUAAUUUGAUUUUGCAUUUUUCACCUGACAAAAGAAUUUAUUAUAUGCCGACCCCUUUAGGCCCCUUUUUCACUUUUUUUGUGUUUUCUGACAUUUUAUAGACUAGUCCAUCAAUCACCGAUGUGAGUAAUCAUUCACCUUUGUACGAUUUCUAUGAUUUGAAGCUACAGCAUCCGUCUCAUCCCGCACCCUGAGGUGUGAAAUAAUGGACCAAUAUUUUCCAGAGCUGUUCUAUUAUCCUGACAAUGUAAUAUUUCACUGUAUGAACUCAGGACAUGAAUUAUCAUACCUUUUGUAGGCUUCAUCUCCAGCUGUCAGGCGCAGAUCUUUAUUGUCAUGUCAAAUUGGAAGUGACCCAUUUCUUCUGCUCACUGAUAUAUUCUACAGUCAGAUUUUUGUCUUUAAAAUGAAACAAAUCAGCUUACUCUCAGAUGUAAAGACAAAAGAGAGAUUUGACAUGAUCUGUGAGUAUUUUUUUUAAAACCCAGAUGAAACAGGAAGUGAAACAGGUAGAUCUACCACCAAUAUUUUGAUUCUGCAUAAAAACUGGGUCACUGUUUGGUUUGAGGACAGGAAAUGACACCAUUUCUGCUCACGCUCUGUCUCAUUGAGGUUGAGACUUUUACACACAGUAGAUUUUUUUUUUUGAACACAAUAAAAGAAGAAGUGAAGCACAUCCAGCUUCUUUUCAAUGCAGGAUCAUUUUAAUUUUCAAUUACACACUGACAUUUACCAAUGUGGGUGUUUUUUUGCUCUCUCCUGACGAGAUAUCAGCCAUGAGAGUGGUUGAAAAGAGUCUCCUCCAUCUUUUUAAUUAAAGAUGUCUUAUUUUUAUUGUUCUUAUCUUAGCGAUGACGAGCUCCCCGUGUGCUAUCUUCACCCCAUUCUGAGCACUGCGGUUCAGACAGAAUAAGCCUCCUUAAUUGCAUAUGCAUGACCCCUUGUCUGGAAGCAGUCACUGUGUCAAUAAAUUAUAGUAAAGGCCACGGCUGCUAUCUAGAAUAUUAAUCAUUCUGCUUCCUCAGUAGUGCUGUUUGACAUCAUGGCACGCUUUCCUUUUAAAUCAGCUCAGAGGGUCAGGAGGUACAGGUAAUUAAACUUCAUAUGCUCAGAUCCCAGAUCUACAUUUAGCUUAAAAUAUUCAAUCACAGAAAUAAGCCUACUCUUUAAAUUUACGAAACCAUGCCUGGUUGGACAAAGUGCACUGUGGUUGGUUUUUGAAGUGCCUUUCGGAUCUAGUUUGGUAGAAAAACAAGAAAACAGUUCUCACCCCAUUAACUCUGAAUCAUCACGUCCCAUUCAAGUCAAUGAGAGUCCCUGAGCUCCCUCAUCCUGUAGGUUCCUCUGGAUCGCUGCUGCUGUGGACCAGCCCAAGCCUCAAUGGGACCCUAAGCAAAAUUUGAUUUUAGGGCCCUCUAUUUCUUCCAAUAAUAUUGAUUGUUGAUCAUUCACACUCCUUCACAAAUUUCUUUGAUUACCAUUCCAUGACCUGCAAACACACCUUUAUCUUGGCGUUUUUUCUCUUCUUCCUCUUCCUUUUCUCUGCUCCUAAAGGAUAUGCCCUUUUUUGCAACAUUGUUUUGCCCCACAAACUACCUGCGCUUUGGAUGCUCAGUGUACAGUGCACAGUAGAAGGCACAUAACGGUAGCAGAACUUUAACAUAUCGGCAGUAAGAAUCAUAGGCCUACAUUAGCAGCAGCACUAAAAUGUUUUUACUUUAUUUUUACAAUAAUAUAUAUUUGAUCAUACAGAAAGAAUCACUCACACAUGCAAAAAAUAAAAAAUAUUUAAACUUUUUUUUUUAUUGCUCUUGGGGGGCCCCUAUUGGCCGCAGGGCCCUAAACAGGAGCUUAGUUCGCUUAUGCCUUGGGCCGGCUCUGAGCAUGAGUUCCUCCAUUUUUUUAUAAAUGUUAUAAAGCUAACGUUGAUCGUAGAAUUUUUUGACUAUUCUGCUUUAAUUGUUCUAAUUCAAAGCCCCACUAUUUACCUCAACUUCACGGUAUCACUAAGCUAUUACUAUUGACGUGUUGACUUAUGUUUCCCAUAAAUCAAUCUAGGAUCAGUCUAUUAGUAAACCACAUGUAACCACACAUCUGUAUGUACUAUUGUUGAUGUUGUUGUCUCUGUCCAUCUCUCUCUUUCUGAAUCUCUCUCUAUAAUCAAAACACGGUUUCAGCAGAUGAGCGUCUAACAUGAAUCUGGUUUUGCACAAGGUCUCUGUCUUCUAAAAGGAAGUUUUUCUUCACCACUGUUACUUGUUGGAUGCUACAAAGUGGGUCUGUUUGAGACUCAAUCAUAUUCUAUCUUGAUGUUGGGUCUUAAAGAGUAAACAGACAAAUUUCAACUGUUUUUAAAUCAAUAAAAUCAUAAUCAGAGUUAUAUUUAAGUGUGAAAUGAUUGAUUUGUCGAGGAAGUCAUUAUGAAAUUCACGGGUUAGUCUAGCUAUCAUAAGACGGUUGUUAAAGGUGGUACAAACCCUUCAGGGUGAGACAACACUACUCUCAUUGUGUAGCGCCUGCCAAAGCCCAAUAAGCAAAUUAGAUUUUGAGACUCAUAAAACUGCUCAUCUCCGGAUAUUUUUUCAGAGUUUCUUGCCAGUGGCUUAUUCACAUCAACUUGGAAGACUCCACAUAUUCAUUGGAAGAGGAACGUUUAAGGGGAAAAAAAUCACUGGGAUGACUAAUCUGGGGACUUUUCUGUCUGAAUCCAUCGCUUUAAUAUCAACCUGCUGUUUUAAGGUUAACACAGACAUCAAACAAGACAUCUUGCAUAAUGCAUGUGUGUUUAAAGUGCUCAGUAAUAAUUGUAGGGCAGAACUGAAGCCCGAACUAGGCCUUAGUGUAUUUAAAAGUACCAAACCUGCUAUCUUUUGGAUCCACAGUUUAUAAAAUGCUUAACUUUAAGAUAGAUCCAUGCAGCUGAAUGCACUUCUUAAGAGUUGGCUGUUUAUUAUCAGUCCAAAGUUGGUUGCUCUGUGACCCAAAUGCAAAAAUGUUAAUAAACACCCUGUUCUGCACCUUUAUGCAAUCAGCCCCUCUCGGCCAGACUGAGGUGGAAACCCGUUUGAUAAAAUUGGCUGCUUCCUGGAGUCUGGAGACUGAAGUCACACACUCAGACGGAAGGGAUUGGAGACGCAUGGAGAGGGGAGGGGGACAUUGUGCGUCUAGUGCCACUUCCACAGUCCCCCCCCCUGACAGACCCGACUGAUUGCUUCCAGACCACCUUAAAAAGCGGCGCAGUCCUCUGAACCGUGCGGUCUCUUGCGUUGCGCUCUUGCGCGGCGCCAGUGGGGGAUCCUGGGACAAUGUGG